rnacentral:rRNA from 1 species
UACGUAGGGUGCGAGCGUUGUCCGGAAUUAUUGGGCGUAAAGAGCUCGUAGGCGGUGUGUCGCGUCGGCCGUGAAAACCUGGGGCUCAACUCUGGGCGUGCGGUCGAUACGGGCAUCACUUGAGUUCGGCAGGGGAGACUGGAAUUCCUGGUGUAGCGGUGAAAUGCGCAGAUAUCAGGAGGAACACCGGUGGCGAAGGCGACUACCUGGCCUGUUCUUGACGCUGAGGCGCGAAAGCUAGGGGAGCAAACGGG